GGUGGAAAGUGGGGGACCUUCGGGCCUCACGCUAUUGGAUGAGCCUAAGUCGGAUUAGCUUGUUGGUAGGGUAAUGGCCUACCAAGGCGACGAUCCGUAGCUGGUCUGAGAGGACGAUCAGCCACACUGGGACUGAGACACGGCCCAGACUCCUAGGGGAGGCAGCAGUGGGGAAUAUUGGACAAUGGGCGCAAGCCUGAUCCAGCAAUGCCGCGUGUGUGAAGAAGGCCUGCGGGUUGUAAAGCACUUUCAGUAGAGAAGAAAAGCCUAGGGUUAAUAACCCUGAGUUUUGACGUAACCUACAGAAGAAGCACCGGCUAACUCCGUG
rnacentral:rRNA from 1 species